GACGGAGGGGGCAAGCGUUGUCCGGACUCACUGGGCGUAAAGGGUGCGCAGGCGGCAGAGCGCGUCCGCGCUGAAAUCUGUCGGCUUAACUGACAGGCGCGUGCGGAUACGGCUCAGCUCGAGGCACGGAGAGGGUGGGGGAACUCCUGGUGUAGUGGUGAAAUGCGUAGAGAUGUGGAGGAACACCGAUGGCGAAGGCAGCCCCCUGGGUCAAGAUUGACGCUCAUGCACGAAAGCGUGGGGAGCAAACAGG
rnacentral:rRNA from 1 species